rnacentral:rRNA from 1 species
UGGGGAACAUUAGAAAUGGACGAAAGUCUGAUCUAGCAACACCGCGUGUGCGAAGAAGGCCUUCGGGUCGUAAAGCACUUUUUGGAAGGAAUAGGGAGGAAUGUACUUCCAGAAUAAGUCUCGGCUAACUUCGUGCCAGCAGCCGCGGUAACACGUAGGAGGCAAACGUUAUCCGGAUUUACUGGGCGUAAAGCGCGUGUAGGUGGUACUGUAAGUAGGGCGUGAAAGCUCCUGGCUCAACUGGGAGAGGCCGUUCUAAACUACAGAACUAGAGGAUGGUAGAGGGAGGUGGAAUUCCAGGUGUAGCGGUGGAAUGCGCAGAUAUCUGGAGGAACACCGGUGGCGAAGGCGACCUCCUGGACCAUUCCUGACACUCAGACGCGAAAGCUAGGGUAGCAAACG